GAUGAAGAACGUAGCGAAAUGCGAUAAGUAAUGUGAAUUGCAGAAUUCAGUGAAUCAUCGAGUCUUUGAACGCACAUUGCGCCCCCUGGUAUUCCGGGGGGCAUGCCUGUCCGAGCGUCAUUGCUGCCCUCAAGCACGGCUUGUGUGUUGGGCCCCCGCCCCCGGUUUCCCCCGGGGACGGGCCCGAAAGGCAGCGGCGGCACCGCGUCCGGUCCUCGAGCGUAUGGGGCUUUGUCACCCGCUCUGUAGGCCCGGCCGGCGCCAGCCGACACCCAACUUUAUUUCUAAGGUUGACCUCGGAUCAGGUAGGGAUACCCGCUGAACUUAAGCAUAUCAAUAAGCGGAGGA
rnacentral:misc_RNA from 1 species